rnacentral:rRNA from 1 species
UACGAAGGGUGCAAGCGUUACUCGGAAUUACUGGGCGUAAAGCGUGCGUAGGUGGUUUGUUAAGUCUGAUGUGAAAGCCCUGGGCUCAACCUGGGAAUUGCAUUGGGUACUGGCAGGCUAGAGUGCGGUAGAGGGUAGUGGAAUUCCCGGUGUAGCAGUGAAAUGCGUAGAUAUGUGGAGGAACAUCGAUGGCGAAGGCAGCCUCCUGGGAUAACACUGACGCUCAUGCACGAAAGCGUGGGGAGCAAACAGG